UACCAGUACCCCGAGUGGUCGGGACGUUUAUUGGGCCUAAAGCAUCCGUAGCCGGUUCUACAAGUCUUCCGUUAAAUCCACCUGCUUAACAGAUGGGCUGCGGAAGAUACUAUAGAGCUAGGAGGCGGGAGAGGCAAGCGGUACUCGAUGGGUAGGGGUAAAAUCCGUUGAUCCAUUGAAGACCACCAGUGGCGAAGGCGGCUUGCCAGAACGCGCUCGACGGUGAGGGAUGAAAGCUGGGGGAGCAAACCGG
rnacentral:rRNA from 1 species